rnacentral:rRNA from 1 species
GACGAACGCUGGCGGCGUGCCUAAUACAUGCAAGUAGAACGCUGAAGGAGGAGCUUGCUUCUCUGGAUGAGUUGCGAACGGGUGAGUAACGCGUAGGUAACCUGCCUGGUAGCGGGGGAUAACUAUUGGAAACGAUAGCUAAUACCGCAUAAGAGUAGAUGUCGCAUGACAUUUGCUUAAAAGGUGCAAUUGCAUCACUACCAGAUGGACCUGCGUUGUAUUAGCUAGUUGGUGAGGUAACGGCUCACCAAGGCAACGAUACAUAGCCGACCUGAGAGGGGGACCGGCCACACUGGGACUGGGACACGGACCAGAAUCCUGCAGGAGGGAACAGUAGGGAAUCUUCGGCAAAGGACGGAAGGCUGGCCGGGCGAAGACGCGAAAAUGAAAAAGGUUUUCGGGUCGGAAAGCACUGUUGUAAGAGAAGAACGAGUGUGAGAGUGGAAAGUUCACGCUGUGACGGUAUCUUACCAGAAAGGGACGGCUAACUACGUG